rnacentral:rRNA from 1 species
AUGAAAGAAGCCGGCAGCGAGUGGGGCCUGCAGCUUGUGUGCGGGGCGAGGAAGAGGAGGACGAGAAGUGAAACACUGUCCAUUGAUGCUGCCGCCUUGCUGCUAGGAGAAGGCGAGAGGAGGAGGCAGGAACCUGGGCCAGAAGCACAGAAGGACGAGGCUAUUCACGCGGUAAGCUGCUCCAGCAAAGCCAGCUUGCCGGUGCAACCCCAAGUACGACACGACCCAGGGGAUCACCUGAGGCGGCCUGAGCAGCCAUGUCGGCGCCGCACACACCAACGGAAAAAGGUUGUUCGACUUUGGCAAGAUCGAAGCACAUAG